GGUAGUCCACGCCGUAAACGUUGGGCGCUAGGUGUGGGGGCCAUUCCACGGUCUCCGUGCCGCAGCUAACGCAUUAAGCGCCCCGCCUGGGGAGUACGGCCGCAAGGCUAAAACUCAAAGGAAUUGACGGGGACCCGCACAAGCAGCGGAGCAUGUGGUUUAAUUCGAUGCUAACCGAUAAACCUUACCAGGGUUUGAAAUCCCGAGAAUUUCUCCGAAAGGAGAGAGUGCUUUAUUGAACUCGGUGACAGAUGCUGCAUGGCUGUCGUCAGCUCGUGCCGUGGGGGUGUUGGGUUAAG
rnacentral:rRNA from 1 species